GACGAACGCUGGCGGCGUGCCUAAUACAUGCAAGUAGAACGCUGAAGGAGGAUCUUGCUUCUCUGGAUGAGUUGCGAACGGGUGAGUAACGCGUAGGUAACCUGCCUGGUAGCGGGGGAUAACUAUUGGAAACGAUAGCUAAUACCGCAUAAGAGUAGAUGUUGCAUGACAUUUGCUUAAAAGGUGCAAUUGCAUCACUACCAGAUGGACCUGCGUUGUAUUAGCUAGUUGGUGGGGUAACGGCUCACCAAGGCGACGAUACAUAGCCGACCUGAGAGGGUGAUCGGCAACACUGGGACGGAGACACGGCCCAGACUCCUACGGGAGGCAGCAGUAGGGAAUCUUCGGCAAUGGACGGAAGUCUGAACGAGCAACGCCGCGUGAGUGAAGAAGGUUUUCGGAUCGUAAAGCUCUGUUGUAAGAGAAGAACGAGUGUGAGAGUGGAAAGUGCACACUGUGACGGUAUCUUACCAGAAAGGGACGGCUAACUACGUG
rnacentral:rRNA from 1 species